rnacentral:tRNA from 1 species
GCUGAAGUGGCGGAAUGGUAGACGCACAGGACUUAAAAUCCUGUGGUAGUUAAUACCGUGAGGGUUCAAGUCCCUCCUUCAGCACCA